rnacentral:sRNA from 1 species
ACAAAGAGAGAGAUGGCCAGAGUAGCCCCCAGCCCAGCCCCAGGACAUUUUCACAGGAAGUGCAAAGAGGAGAUUAUUACAAAAGACAUUCAGAUCAUGACAGUGGCAAGCCUUCCAGUAGAGGGAAAAGAUCUUCAAAACUGUACUCCACCAUUGCAGAAGAGGAAGUGAAUGCAAUUGGGCACAGGAAGUCACAGCCAACAAAUGUUUCAAGGAGAAGCUGGGGCCAGCAGGCCCAGGAGUAUCAAGAACAAAAGCAACGGUCCUCCAGUAAAGAUGGCCAUCAAGGCAGCAAAUCUAGUGACUCCGGGGAAGAAGCAGAAAAAGAGUUUAUUUUUGUGUAAAGGUCACCCACGCAGAAGUCUUCCUGUGCAGGGUGCUUUGGUAGCCAUCAGAGAGGAACCAAGGGCAACAUCUUUUCUUCCCAGGCAUUCUUCUCUGGGCGCUUUAUUCUCUUCUUUUUCUUUAUUUCUCCCCCACCCCCAUCCCCUGCCUUUUUUUUUUUUUUUGUAUAGAAACAGAUCCAUUUCUUGGUAAUCAAAGCACAUUUGUUUGGUCUUCCUCCAACCCUUUGCAUUUGAUUUCUAAACAUUCCUUCAUAUGCCUUUAAUGAAAGCCAGCAAUUAUCCCAUGGGCCCUACUUGAAUUUAUCUGAGGCAGCUACAGAUUGCCCUGCAAGAUGAGUUUUUGGAGAUAAAUGAAAUAACUGGACACACACUCACACAAGUAACACCACAGCAGACCUGGGAGUACUGCUGAGUGUACCUGUGUCAAAUCCGCACAGGACUCAAUAUAGCAAUUUAUUCUUGAUGUAUGCAAUUACACAUUGUAAUUAUAUUAACAGAGCACACUAAUAAUUUGUAUAGAUUAUAUAUAUUAGAUCUUGGUUAUGGUUUUUACCUUCUCCCAUGGGGAACUUCUUCCUUCCUGAUGUGGAAUUGUACAUUUAAAGCUUGGUCGGUGACCUUUGCAUACCAUCAACGAGCACAGCUAAGAACAGAGUGAGAGAGGCCCACGGCUGAUUUUACCCAUGUGCCCAGAUUAAUGUAUAUAGUUGAUUGGAAUGAAGUUUUAUGAAUAUUCACGUUUUUGAAGGCCUUUAAUUUCUGUCUGCAUAUUAGCUUUUAAUGUGUGAUUUUAAGAGAAUACUUUGACACCUGUAAAAAUCAAAAUACUACUCUUUAUAAGACAUUUCACAAAUAUUCACUUACAUUACAGGCUGGAAGUAUUUUAUUCAUAUGUAUAUUUAUACCAAUAAAAUGAUUUUACAAGUGGAA